CUCCCCCCACCCCCUGCUAUUUCUUUCGCAAAGUGGCAGAAUUUGUAAACAUAACCACGCAACUUGUGGGGCUGAGGGGGGCGAGGCUUGGGAGAGUGAGCUAGUAGGUCCAGUUGAAUGACAAGGAGAUCUAGGGGUAGGGGUGGGCCGAGAGACUGCGGGCAGCUCUGGUUUGAGCUGAAUUGUCAAGACAAAGUGUGGGUUGCAGCAUUAUUUAUGUUAUUCUCCACAACAUCAGUUACAGCUCUUGUUACUAUUAUGAGUUGACUGAAUACUCAACCUCAGCAAGGGCACCUUUCCAGAGAGGGUCUGCUUCUGAGCUAAAGAUAACUCGACCCACACUAUUUGCCCCCUAAAGCUGCAACUCAGUUGCCCUGAGUGGAGGUGAGGUCACUAAAUUAGGGACUGUUGUCAGGUGGAGCAGAGAGAAUCUGGUUUCCCUUUCUUUUUCUUAUGAACGCUGCUCCCCCCCCACAGAUACUCCGCUGGCCUGAGUUUUUUUUUUUUUAAACAUUAUAUAUGUAUAAAAUCCCUGCGUGCACACAAGUUUACUGCAGACCUGUUAAGAGUUCUUCAUUUUUUCCCUCCAUCUACAGCCCACCCUUGUGGACCAGCUUGAGGAUGCACUUUUAUUAUCCCCCUCCGAGGAGUUAAUCGGUAUGAAUGUCUGUGUGCGCGUGAUAUUCGUCCCCCCUCUUGCCUCCAAUAACCUUCCUCUCUCCUCACCUGUCUGACUACAGGUUUGGACGGUGUCUGGAGCUGAUUGCAAUGAAUCUCACUCGGGGUCAAGCCCACAAUCUCUGGGAGUUGAUGGGUCAUCUUGGAGAACACCCCUUCCCAAUUUCCCUUGCAGCUGGUUUGCAACCCUUUGGCUUUCAGGCGCUCAGCGAUGUUCCCAAGCCUGGAUUCUCUGCGCAUGGCACCAGUAAAACUGUGCUUUGGCUUCUAAUUCACUCAUUUCACCAAGUCAUUUAGGGCUCCUAUGACUAGGAUGUGAAGUAAGUGGGAAUCAUCAGAAAAAUGCCAUUACACACCCUUACACACCUCCCAGAAAUUGCAGAAUGUGGGAGUGUGGGGGGGGGCAUGAAGUGGGAGCAGACGAAUAAAGCAACCUAUAGCCUCUUAUUUUGAGUCACCAUCAUCAGGAAGAAGUCUUUCAAACCCGCUGGCGGGAAGGUGUGGGAGCCUGAGAAUGGAGACCCAGAGAGUAGCCAGCCUCUGCAGGGAAAGACGCAUCCAGGGCGGGGCUAAACAGAGGCUGGCUCCAACCCCGCCCCCUGGUGCUCAGAACUGAACUAGCUAAGGACCAAGGAUUUUUCAGCACCUAUCUUCCGUGGACAGCGACCGAAUCCUGGGCCAAACCCAGAACAGAUCUUGGGCCUUGGGUUUCCGGACUGGAGCGAGCGGGGAGUAAUUCACUACGAGGGGGUUGGAGAAAAUAGACUCAAGAAGACAGCGCGGAGCAGCCGCCUUGAGUCUCCUUUGCCAGCCUGCGUCAGUCAUCAGCUACUGACGUCACGUGCAGAUUCUCCUCUUUGGUGGGUCUGGUUUAGCGGAGAAGAGGCUUCUGCUCAGAGACAGCGCUUUGUGUUCGGCGCAGCCACUGAGCAGGCGAGGCGGCCGAGGCGGGCGCCACCCUAGGCUUGGGCUGGGCAGCUGCAGAGGAGGCUGCAGCCUAGUCUGCACCCAGCGUGCUGGGCCCGGAGGGGCGGGCCCAGCAGGACAGCCCCCUCCCCAAAUCCCCCCCACGCCCCUCCGCCCAAAGCAAACUCCGCGGUGCACAGACUCCGGCGCGAGUCCUUUCCCCGCCCUUUCGCAUCUGGCCACUGUAGCAGAGACAGCUAUGGCUAUAACUCGGAUUAAUUCUGUGUGUUUGUCGGGCAGAUAGCCCCAGCUCCUCGAGUGACGCAAAUAAAAGAUUCUACAGCUCCC